GACGAACGCUGGCGGCGUGCUUAACACAUGCAAGUCGAACGAUGAAAGAGAAUCCGAUCUCUUCGGAGUGAAGAAUCUCUGGAUUAGUGGCGGACGGGUGAGUAACGCGUGAGCAAUCUGCCUUACACAAAGGGAUAGCCUCGGGAAACCGGGAUUAAUACCAUAUGACAUCUAUUAACCGCAUGGUUUAUAGAUUAAAGAAUUUCGGUGUAAGAUGAGCUCGCGUCCCAUUAAUUAGUUGGUGAGGGUAACGGCCCACCAAGAUAGCGAUGGGUAGCCGAUCUAAGAGGAUGACCGGCCACAUUGGAACUGAGAAACGGUCCAAACUCCUACGGGAGGCAGCAGUGGGGAAUAUUGCACAAUGGGGGAAACCCUGAUGCAGCGACGCCGCGUGAGCGAUGAAGGCUUUCGAGUCGUAAAGCUCUGUCCUAUGGGAAGAUAAUGACGGUACCAUAGAAGAAAGCCCCGGCUAAUUACGUGCCCGCAGCCGCGGUAAUACGUAAGGGGCGAGCGUUGUCCGGAAUUAUUGGGCGUAAAGAGUGCGUAGGCGGCAAAUUAAGUCAGAUGUGAAAACUAAGGGCUCAACCCAUAGAUUGCAUCUGAUACUGAUAUGCUUGAGUCAAGGAGAGGAAAGUGGAAUUCCUAGUGUAGCGCUGGAAUGCGUAGAUAUUAAGAGGAAUACCGGUGGCGAAAGCGACUUUCUUGGACUUGAACUGACCCUCUAGGUACGAAAGCGUGUGGAGCAAACACGAUUAUAUACCGUGGUUAUCCAAGGGCGAAUUCUCCCUGGGUAUGCAGCCCCAGGGGGGCGGCCGACCCCCCCGGGGUCGUACACACCUGCAUAAUUCUGUUUCUUUUUGGGAGGGGUGAUUAUA
rnacentral:rRNA from 2 species